GGAAUUUUGGACAAUGGGCGAAAGCCUGAUCCAGCAAUGCCGCGUGAGUGAAGAAGGCCUUCGGGUUGUAAAGCUCUUUUGUCAGGGAAGAAACGGUGAGAGCUAAUAUCUCUUGCUAAUGACGGUACCUGAAGAAUAAGCACCGGCUAACUACGUGCCAGCAGCCGCGGUAAUACGUAGGGUGCAAGCGUUAAUCGGAAUUACUGGGCGUAAAGCGUGCGCAGGCGGUUUUGUAAGUCUGAUGUGAAAUCCCCGGGCUCAACCUGGGAAUUGCAUUGGAGACUGCAAGGCUAGAAUCUGGCAGAGGGGGGUAGAAUUCCACGUGUAGCAGUGAAAUGCGUAGAUAUGUGGAGGAACACCGAUGGCGAAGGCAGCCCCCUGGGUCAAGAUUGACGCUCAUGCACGAAAGCGUGGGGAGCAAACAGGAUUAGAUACCCCAG
rnacentral:rRNA from 1 species